rnacentral:rRNA from 1 species
ACAGCGUAAACUUAACAUGAAGUGAAGCAUGUAAACCUGCUGAAUUUAAGCAUAUAAGUAGGCGGUGGAAAAUGAACCAAAUGGGAUUCCUUAAGUAAUUGCGAAUGAACAAGGAAAUGCUCAGCUUGAAAAAUGGGGCCUUUGGCUUUGAAUUGUAAUUUUGAAAUGUAUUGCCAAUGGAGGCGCAGGUGCAAGCCUAUUGAAAGAAAGCGUCAAUGAGGGUGAGAUUCCUUUUUGUCAUUUGCAGUCCUCCGUGCACGGUAUAUAUUUGACGAGUCACACUCCUCGGCAUUGGAAUGCAAAGUGGGUGGUAAAUUCCAUGUAAAGGUAAAUAUAUUAUUGAGACUGAUAGCAAACAAGUACCAUGAGGGAAAUAUGAAAAGGACUUUGAAAAGAGAAUUAAAAGAGUCUGCAUUUGCUGAACAGAAAGCAAACAGAAUUGAUUUUACUUGGUGAGAUUGUUGUGCUUACUCUAUCAUUUAUAUGGUUGAUGUGGGUGCGAUGGUUCUUACCUUGAAUGUCAGCUUCUAUUUCUGCAAAUCAUUACCCUUGCACAUGAAUGGUAAUUUGCCUGCGGGUAUUGGAAUGCAUGUGUUUGCAAUGAUUUGUGAUUUGACGCAUGUGUUUGGUGAAAUUUGUAUAUGCUCUUUUGUCGAAGGGGAAAGCUUACUUUUUUGAGCAUUGCAAGCCCUUACACAUCAGUGCUGGCAAAAUGUUUCUGCUUGACCCGUCUUGAAACACGGACCAAGGAGUCUAACAGAUGUGCAAGUUCGUGGGUGGCAAACCUUUUUGCGCAAUGAAAGUAUUGGCUGGGAUACUUGCACCAGCAGCCGACCAAUUAGCAGACAGAGGUUUGAGUUUGAGCAUAUCUAUUAGGACCCGAAAGAUGGUGAACUAUGCCUGAACAGAAUGAAUCAGAGGAAACUCUGA